GUUCCCCCUAGAGGGUGCAUAUCGAAACUAAAGUUUCAGUUAUGAAGUUAAAAUCGUUCAUGUGUGCAAUUGAUAUGCCAGAAAACGGUAGAUUAAAUGAAAGUUUGUGGAUAAGUGUAUUGAAGGAAAAGAGAAGAAUGGUCAUUAU